rfam:Asian citrus Psyllid, Diaphorina citri - Florida Strain, whole genome shotgun sequence.
CAGCGCGACGAUAGCACCCUGAAUGUGCCGGUUUUCAAUGGAUCACUGAAGUUAAGCAACGUUGCGCGUGGUUAGUAUCUGAAUGGGUGACCAUCUGUACAAUCACAAGCAUGUACAGA